rnacentral:rRNA from 1 species
UACGGGGGGGGCAAGCGUUGUUCGGAAUUACUGGGCGUAAAGGGCUCGUAGGCGGCCAACUAAGUCAUACGUGAAAUCCCUCGGCUUAACCGGGGAACUGCGUCUGAUACUGGAUGGCUUGAGUUCGGGAGAGGGAUGCGGAAUUCCAGGUGUAGCGGUGAAAUGCGUAGAUAUCUGGAGGAACACCGGUGGCGAAGGCGGCAUCCUGGACCGAUACUGACGCUGAGGAGCGAAAGCCAGGGGAGCAAACGGGAUUAGAUACCCGGUAGUCC